rnacentral:misc_RNA from 1 species
UUUCCGUAGGUGAACCUGCGGAAGGAUCAUUACAGAGUGAGGGACCCCCGGGGACCAACCUCCCACCCGCGUUUAACGAAUCCUGCUGCUUCGGCCGGCCCCCCUCACGGCCGCCGGCGGGCAUCUGCCCCCCGGCCAGAGCCUGCCGCAUCCACCUGUGAACGCUGUGUGAAGUAUGCCGUCUUAGACAAUUAUUAACAUAAAAGAAACUUUUAACAACGGAUCUCUUGAUGCCGGCAUCGUGGAGGAACGCAGCAAGACGGAAGAUCACACGCC